rnacentral:rRNA from 1 species
AUAGAUUUGAAAAGUGUUAUACGGCAUUAAAGGGUUAUUCAAGGAAUAUAUUACUAUUAAUAAGGAAAGGUUACUAAUAAUUAAAUAAUAUUUAAUUUAAAACCUAAGGUAAACCAUAGAAAAAAACGUGAAGAACUGAAUCAUCUAAGUAUUCAUAGGAAAAGAAAUCAAAAGAGAUAUUAUGAGUAAUUGGCGAAUGAAAAUAAUAAAGUUAAAAAAGUAAGUAAUCCCUUUAGGGGGAUGAAUAAAGAUUAAACUAAAUCUAAAACUAAAUAUUAUUAAUAAGUAUAAAAAGUACCGAAAGGGAAAAUAUAGAAAUGGAUAAUUUAUAAGCAGUAUGAGACUUUAAAAAAGUUUAAUACGUACCUUUUGUAUAAUGGGCCAGCAAGUAAUAAUAAUUAGCAAAAUAUUAAAAAUAUUAAAUAUAAAUAGAAUAUAUAAUAAAUUAUUAUUAAAUAAUUUGAAUAAUGUAAAAAAGUUAAUUAUUAUUGGCCCGAAAAUAAAAGAUCUUAUUAUUACAAGAUAUAUAAUAAAUUAUAUAUUAUAUAUUUAAUAUAUAAUGAAUUUAUUGAUCGAAUGAGUUAAUGUUGCAAUAUUAUUCAAUUAGUGAUGAUAAGUAAGUGAAAGACUAACCUGUUUUAUAGAUAGCUGGUUCUCUGUGAAAUAUAUGUUAGUAUAGUGGUUAAUGAAAGAUUAUUAUAUGGUAUAGCAAUUAAUAUUUAAAUUUAUUAUUAUUUAUAAUAAUAAAUAUGGGGGUCAAUUAUAGACUUAUCAUGUAUAUUUAAUCUCAUAAUAAUAUAAUAUCAUUAUUAAUUAAUAAAAUAAUUAAUAAAAAAAUUAACUAAUCAGACUGUAUGCGAUAAGGUAUAUAGUCGAGAGGGAAACAGCCCUAAAUAAAAUAUAAGGUUCUAAAAUAUAAAUUAAGUGAAUAAAAUGUAUAAUAAAUUCAUAAUCAAUUAGUUGGUGGGUUUGACAAUAACUAUCCUAUAAUGAACAUGUAACAAUGCACUAAUAAAUAAAUAUAAAGAAAUUUUAUACAGAUAAUACACGGAUCUUAAAAAUAUAUUUUUUUAAUUAAAGAUAUAUUAUAAAUUUAUUACCGAAGAUUUAUAUAUUUAUAUAUAUAAAAACAAAUAUAUAAAUAUAGUAACAGAGCAUAUAAUAAAUAAAAUAUAAUAGUUAGAUAAAUUAUUAUAAAAAUUAAAUAAAAAUAAUAUUUAAUAAAUAUUAAUUAUAUUGAGAAUGCUGGCAUGAGUAGCGAAAAAUAAGUAAUAAAAAUUAUAAACUUAUUCACAUAAUACAUAAGGUUUUACUAUAAAUUCGGUCCUUAAAUUAGUAUAUAAAUAUAAUAUAUAUGAUAGGUUUAAUAUUUAUAAUUAUAUAUAAUAAUGUUAAACAUUAUUAUUAACAUUAAUAAUAUUAUUUAUUUUUUUAAAUAAAUAAUAUUGUAUUAUUAAAAAGUACAAGAAAUAAAUAAUUAUUAAAACCGUAAUUAAUACCGACCCAGGUGUGUAUAGUAGAGAAUAUGAAAGUGAAUGGAAAAAAUAUGGUUAAGGAACUCGGCAAAAACAACCCCCACGUUAGUCAAAAAAGGGUAAAAAAAGAAUAAGAUUAUACAACUGUUUACUAAAAACACAGCACUUUGCAGAUAUAAAAAUAUUAGUAUAAGGUGUGAAUCCUGCUCAAUGAUUUAAUAACUAAAAAUUAUUUUUAUAAAAGGAAAUAAUUCUAAAGAUUAGUCAAAUAGCAGCCUUAUUUUGAGGGUUAUAAUGUAGCGAAAUUCAUUGGCUACUAAUUAUAGUCCUGCAUGAAUGGAGUAAUGAUAUAAUAACUGUCUCAACCAUAUAUCCAGCGAAAUUGGAUUAGCAGUGAAGAUACUGCUAAACUUCAGUAAGACGGAAAGACCCUAUGCAGCUUUACUAUUAAUAAACAAACUGUUUUAUAUUUAUAUUUAUUCAGCUUAUAAAGUAAUAAAUAGUUAUAAAAUUGAGAAACUUUUUAAAUAUAAAUAUAAAACUUAUCUUAACUUUAUAUAAUGUUAUUAUAACUAUAUAAUAAUUUAUUAAGUUUUUUAUUAAAUAAAAAACAUAUAUUAUAUAUAAUUUAAAAUUAUAUAUAUAUUAAUAAUAAGAGAAAGUUUUUAUUAGAUAGUUUUGAUGGGGCGUCAUUCUCAUAUAAAUAAACUGAGUAAGUCCUUUAUAUGAUUAAUAAAUAAUUAAAAAAAAAUAUAAAAUAUAUAUUAAAUAUAUUAAUUAUAUAUAUACAAUUUAAAUUAUUUAUAUUAUUUUAUAUAAAUAAUCUAAAAUUGAAUAAAUAAUAGAAAAGAGAAGGUAUAGUAAAAUUGUCAUGAAAACAAUAAAUUUAAAUAAAUUUAUAAAAUAUAAUAGUAUAACUAUGCAUAAAUUACGAUCAUAAACAAAUGAAGUAAAUACGUAAGUAUGGUAUAAUGAACAUUUACUAUAAAUAGUAUUAGGUAAAGAUAACGGAUAAAAGUUACGCUAGGGAUAACAGGGUAAUAUAACGAAAUAGUACAUAUAGUAAGUUAUGUUUGCCACCUCGAUGUCGACUCGCCUUAUCCUAUUGGUUGUAGCAGCUAAUAAGGGUUUGACUGUUCGUCAAUUAAAAAGGCACGUGAGUUGGGUUAAAUACUUCGUGAGCAGUAUGGUUCCUAUCUUCUGAAGUAAAUAUUAUAAAUAUAAGUCUAUAAAUUAGUACGCAAGGAUCAUUUAUAAUUAAUCAAUGGUGAACUAUUAAAUAAUUUAUACUUUUUUAUUUUUAAAAAUAUAUAAAUUAUUAAUACAUAAUAACUUUUUUUAUAUAAAUUAUUUACGUAGUAUAGCUAAAUUAAUAAAUAAUAAGUAUUGAAAGCAUAUGAAAUACGAAUUUGUCUUAUGGAUAUAAUUAUAUAGUGAUUGUAUACUAUAAUCAUUAAAUAGUUAUUUGCAAAUAAUUUCUUUUUAGAAAUGUAUAAAUAACUAAUUAACUAUAUUGCAAUAUAACUUCUAAUCU